rnacentral:lncRNA from 1 species
AAAAACGGAAAAUAUCGCGGAUAUCCGACCUCCUGUGUCGGAUUUUAUUGGUUUGGCAAAUUCAAAAAAAUCGGUUUAACAUCUCUCUCUCUCUUCAUUCAUUACUUUCGCAUUUUCUUUUCUUUAUCGCUGUUUCUCUGCACUGAUGGUUAUUAUUAGGGUUUCUUCACUUCUUCAUCUCUCUUCGUUCUUCUUCAGAUCUCUUCUUCUACUCAUUUCUUAAAUCUUAUUCAUUCAAUCUUUUAACUUUGAACUGAUUUCAUUGUUUUCUACUUCAAUCAACAAACUUCGAACUGAAAACGAACUAAAAACAAAGCUAUGGAGAAGAAAUUUAAACUCAUUUCAUUUGAUUUCGAGUUUAAAGAAGCGAUUUAAAGUGAAGAUCUUGGUUAUAUCGAGUUCGAUUGAAGUUUAAUUAGCAAUUUCGAAAGAGAGUUUUAUGAUUGAGAUUUUCAAUUUAAACGGAUUAAGAAGGGAAAAUUGAAAGGUGGAGAAUGAAGAUAAGAACAAAUUGUUGUAGAAAAAAGGAGAGAUUGUUAAUUACAGUAGCUUUUAUCAAAGAAAAGACGAAUUAGUGAAACUGUGAACCUACCAAAAAUGCCUUAUAUGUGACAUUUGGCAUUAAAGCUUCUGUUUCAGAAACGUUUAGUUUUGGCUGGUAAUACGGAGUUAACAAAGAGAGAGAAUCUCAAAGAAACUAAUUGAUAGUCUUUUUAUCUUUUAGUUUCUUCAUUUACUUAACUCACUUGUUUUCAGUUUCAAAUAUUCGCGAAAAUUUCAUAAAUUUCGAUAAAUAUCGGGUUUUGCCGAAUUAUGCCGCGAAUAUCCGAUAAAUGCCGAUCGGC